rnacentral:rRNA from 1 species
GACGAACGCUGGCGGCGUGCUUAACACAUGCAAGUCGAACGGAAAGGCCCUGCUUUUGUGGGGUGCUCGAGUGGCGAACGGGUGAGUAACACGUGAGUAACCUGCCCUUGACUUUGGGAUAACUUCAGGAAACUGGGGCUAAUACCGGAUAGGAGCUCCUGCUGCAUGGUGGGGGUUGGAAAGUUUCGGCGGUUGGGGAUGGACUCGCGGCUUAUCAGCUUGUUGGUGGGGUAGUGGCUUACCAAGGCUUUGACGGGUAGCCGGCCUGAGAGGGUGACCGGCCACAUUGGGACUGAGAUACGGCCCAGACUCCUACGGGAGGCAGCAGUGGGAAAUAUUGCACAAUGGGCGGAAGCCUGAUGCAGCAACGCCGCGUGCGGGAUGACGGCCUUCGGGUUGUAAACCGCUUUCGCCUGUGACGAAGCGUGAGUGACGGUAAUGGGUAAAGAAGCGCCGGCUAACUACGUG